AAAUUGAAGAGUUUGAUCAUGGCUCAGAUUGAACGCUGGCGGCAGGCCUAACACAUGCAAGUCGAACGGUAACAGGAAGAAGCUUGCUUCUUUGCUGACGAGUGGCGGACGGGUGAGUAAUGUCUGGGAAACUGCCUGAUGGAGGGGGAUAACUACUGGAAACGGUAGCUAAUACCGCAUAACGUCGCAAGACCAAAGAGGGGGACCUUCGGGCCUCUUGCCAUCGGAUGUGCCCAGAUGGGAUUAGCUAGUAGGUGGGGUAACGGCUCACCUAGGCGACGAUCCCUAGCUGGUCUGAGAGGAUGACCAGCCACACUGGAACUGAGACACGGUCCAGACUCCUACGGGAGGCAGCAGUGGGGAAUAUUGCACAAUGGGCGCAAGCCUGAUGCAGCCAUGCCGCGUGUAUGAAGAAGGCCUUCGGGUUGUAAAGUACUUUCAGCGGGGAGGAAGGGAGUAAAGUUAAUACCUUUGCUCAUUGACGUUACCCGCAGAAGAAGCACCGGCUAACUCCGUGCCAGCAGCCGCGGUAAUACGGAGGGUGCAAGCGUUAAUCGGAAUUACUGGGCGUAAAGCGCACGCAGGCGGUUUGUUAAGUCAGAUGUGAAAUCCCCGGGCUCAACCUGGGAACUGCAUCUGAUACUGGCAAGCUUGAGUCUCGUAGAGGGGGGUAGAAUUCCAGGUGUAGCGGUGAAAUGCGUAGAGAUCUGGAGGAAUACCGGUGGCGAAGGCGGCCCCCUGGACGAAGACUGACGCUCAGGUGCGAAAGCGUGGGGAGCAAACAGGAUUAGAUACCCUGGUAGUCCACGCCGUAAACGAUGUCGACUUGGAGGUUGUGCCCUUGAGGCGUGGCUUCCGGAGCUAACGCGUUAAGUCGACCGCCUGGGGAGUACGGCCGCAAGGUUAAAACUCAAAUGAAUUGACGGGGGCCCGCACAAGCGGUGGAGCAUGUGGUUUAAUUCGAUGCAACGCGAAGAACCUUACCUGGUCUUGACAUCCACGGAAGUUUUCAGAGAUGAGAAUGUGCCUUCGGGAACCGUGAGACAGGUGCUGCAUGGCUGUCGUCAGCUCGUGUUGUGAAAUGUUGGGUUAAGUCCCGCAACGAGCGCAACCCUUAUCCUUUGUUGCCAGCGGUCCGGCCGGGAACUCAAAGGAGACUGCCAGUGAUAAACUGGAGGAAGGUGGGGAUGACGUCAAGUCAUCAUGGCCCUUACGACCAGGGCUACACACGUGCUACAAUGGCGCAUACAAAGAGAAGCGACCUCGCGAGAGCAAGCGGACCUCAUAAAGUGCGUCGUAGUCCGGAUUGGAGUCUGCAACUCGACUCCAUGAAGUCGGAAUCGCUAGUAAUCGUGGAUCAGAAUGCCACGGUGAAUACGUUCCCGGGCCUUGUACACACCGCCCGUCACACCAUGGGAGUGGGUUGCAAAAGAAGCAGGUAGCUUAACCUUCGGGAGGGCGCUUACCACUUUGUGAUUCAUGACUGGGGUGAAGUCGUAACAAGGUAACCGUAGGGGAACCUGCGGUUGGAUCACCUCCUUA
rnacentral:rRNA from 1 species